GUCAUGUGAUGAUAUCAAGGCUGUGGUGAUUCAGUUGGUUUGACCAAGUCCAGGGACCUUUGACUCUGGUCUGUAAUCUUGGUGGAUAAUACAGAGCUCUGUGUGUUCGCUGUAAGGGCAGACCAAUAAGAUAAUCUUUCUACUUCUGAAUGAACUGUCUUUACUAGAGGCUGUUCUUCCAGUUAUCAGGAAGAAACUGAUAACUGGAGUGAGACAGUAGGGACAUGGUAUAUUCGGGAAUUGGGUUGGGGGCUCCUAAAGGACUUGGCUUGUAUUGUGACCACUGAGAGAUGAACACAGAUCUUUAAAAAUUUUUUCAAA